UACGAAGGGGGCUAGCGUUGCUCGGAAUUACUGGGCGUAAAGCGCACGUAGGCGGCUCUUUAAGUCGGAGGUGAAAUCCUGGAGCUCAACUCCAGAACUGCCUUCGAUACUGAAGAGCUCGAGUCCGGGAGAGGUGAGUGGAACUGCGAGUGUAGAGGUGAAAUUCGUAGAUAUUCGCAAGAACACCAGUGGCGAAGGCGGCUCACUGGCCCGGUACUGACGCUGAGGUGCGAAAGCGUGGGGAGCAAACAGGG
rnacentral:rRNA from 1 species